rnacentral:rRNA from 1 species
GACGAACGCUGGCGGCGUGCCUAAUACAUGCAAGUUGAGCGAUGAAGAUUGGUGCUUGCACCUAUUUGAAGAGCAGCGAACGGGUGAGUAACGCGCGGGGAAUCUGCCUUUGAGCGGGGGACAACAUUUGGAAACGAAUGCUAAUACCGCAUAACAACUUUAAACAUAAGUUUUAAGUUUGAAAGAUGCAAUUGCAUCACUCAAAGAUGAUCUCGCGUUGUAUUAGCUAGUUGGUGAGGUAAAGGCUCACCAAGGCGAUGAUACAUAGCCGACCUGAGAGGGUGAUCGGCCACAUUGGGACUGAGACACGGCCCAAACUCCUACGGGAGGCAGCAGGAGGGAAUCUUCGGCAAUGGACGAAAGUCUUGCCGAGCAACGCCGCGGGAGUGAAGAAGGGUUUCGGAUCGUAAAACUCUGUUGGUAGAGAAGAACGUUGGUGAGAGUGGAAAGCUCAUCAAGUGACGGUAACUACCCAGAAAGGGACGGCUAACUACGUG